UACAGAAGUAUCAAUUCAACUUCAGACAGU
rnacentral:piRNA from 1 species